CGGGGGGAGCAAGCGUUGUUCGGAUUUACUGGGCGUAAAGGGCGCGUAGGCGGCCACCGCAAGUCGACUGUGAAAUCUCCGGGCUUAACCCGGAAAGGUCAGCCGAUACUGCGGGGCUAGAGUGCAGAAGGGGCAACUGGAAUUCUCGGUGUAGCGGUGAAAUGCGUAGAUAUCGAGAGGAACACCUGCGGCGAAGGCGGGUUGCUGGGCUGACACUGACGCUGAGGCGCGAAAGCUAGGGGAGCGAACGGGAUUAGAUACCCCGGUAGUCCUAGCCUUAAACGAUGAAUGCUUGGUGUCUGGGGGUUUUAUAGUCCCCGGGUGCCGUCGCUAACGCUUUAAGCAUUCCGCCUGGGGAGUACGGUCGCAAGACUG
rnacentral:rRNA from 1 species